UUCGGGGCAAGCAGACGCGCAGUCACAAAGGAUAUUACAGGCUAAAGCCAUGGUUCCAUGAUGAACUUCAGGCACUGGAUGUCCGGGAAGGGAUACCACCAGCUGGACAAGGUUGGUGGAACUUUCCGUCUCGGAAAGGACCGGAACAAACAGAAGAGUGUGUCCAGCUAUCCCAAACAGUACAUUGAGGAUCAGAAUGGCAGUCAAGCCGAGCCGUCGUGGGAGACCACUGUCAAGGGUUAUACCACCGACGAGGUCAACGCUAGGUUCGAAGUCAUUUUGGAUGACAUGAACCUGACUGAGGAGAAAAAGGCUCCAUUGCGUUCCCGAGAUGAUAACUUGAAGAGAUCCAUGCUAGUGAUGCAUUACAAGGGCAAGGCAAAGCCUCGGAAAGGAGAGCCUGACCAGGCAGAAGAUUUCAUCACACAGUUGCGGAAUGCAGAUCUCAAAGGAGCGAAGCGCCUCAGUGUGUUGGAGUCGCUGCGGGUGUCACUCACCAGUAACCCUGUCAGCUGGGUCCAAGGCUUUGGAGAACAAGGACUCAAUGCUGUUCUGCGUAAUUUGACAUACUGCUGUGAUUCGAAGGCUGAAAGGAGAAGCACCUACGAGUGUGUGCGAUGCCUAAAGGCGUACAUGAAUAAUAAGUUCGGUUUGAUGGAAAUAUUAAAUCACGAAGAAGCUUUAACCAUCCUCUCUCGGACCGUCGACCCCUCCGACCCACAAACCAUGCUUGAAGCUGUUCGUCUCCUUGCUGCCAUAUGUCUUGUUCCGCCCAAUGGACACGAGAGGGCUCUGGAGGGCAUCACAGUGUGCGGGGAGAUCCGGAGCCAAGAGCGUUUCAUCCCUAUCAUCAUGGGGAUGGGCAUGAGGGACAACCUCCCUAUGCAGCUUGCCUGCAUACAACUUGUCAAUGCACUUGUGAGUACGCCGGACGACCUCGACUUCCGAUUACAUCUACGGAAUGAAAUCAUGAGGACAGGCAUGAUCGACCUGAUGCCGACACUAGAUGGGCAGACGGACGAUGAGGUAAAGACACAGGUCCAGAUCUUCCAUGAACACAAAGAUGAAGAUGCUGAAGAGUUCUCUCACAGAUACGACAACGUCCACAUGGAGAUAGACGAUUCCGGCCAGUGCUUCGAACUGAUUGCUGCUUCCAUCAAGGACACCGUGUCGGAGCCCUACUUCCUGUCAAUCCUGCAGCACCUGCUGACUAUCCGAGAUGACCUGUACUCCAGACCCCAGUAUUACAAACUCAUAGAGGAGUGUGUCACCCAGAUAGUGCUGCAUAAGAGUGGCGUGGAUCCCGACUUCCGGCACACCAAGAGAUUUGAAAUAGAUGUCGAACCUCUUCUAAGUAGUUUAUCGGAGAAGUCCAAGUUUGAGGACUCCAAUGUGAAUAUCGGGGAGAUGAACACAAAGCUGGAGGCAGCACUGACGGCCAAGCAGGAGUCGGAGGCCAAGGCCACGAGUCUGGACGAGAAGAUCAAGGGAUAUGAGCAGGAGCUGGCUCAACUCAAAGAAAAGAUUUCUCAGGGAAUAGGGACAGUUGUGAGCAGUGCACUGAACAAGGGGCCUGGUGGUGGCCCUCCCCCACCCCCAGGGGGUGGCCCGCCCCCACCCCCUCCUCCCCCUCCCCCACCUGGUGGAGGUCCACCACCCCCACCUCCUCCUCCACCCCCUCCUGGUGGUGGCCCACCACCACCUCCGCCCCCACCCCCUCCAGGUGGGGGACCUCCUCCGCCCCCACCCCCUCCCGGGGCGCCCCGACCACCCGGAGCUUUCAGUCCCCCUGGCGCCCCCUCUCCCCCAACAAACGUACUACCAUUUGGCAUGCAGCCCAAGAAGAAAUACUCUACAAAUACACAGACCAAGAGGUUGAACUGGAACAAGGUGAAUGCACGUGUGUUGGACAAAGACUCUCUGUGGGUGAAGAUAUCGGAAGAAGCAUUUGAAAGUGACAUUUUGUUCAAGGAUCUUGAAGAAUGCUUUGCUGUGAAAGCACCAGCGAAGAAAGAGACAAGUGAAAAUGUGGACAUCAAACCAAAGAAGAAGUCGAAAGAAUUGCGUGUGCUGGAUCCUAAAGCAGGACAGAAUCUGUCUAUCCUCCUGGGGUCGAUCAAGGUGCCAUAUAAGGAAAUAAAGCGGCGGAUCCUGGCCAUUGAUGAUGAGAACUUGUCGGAAGCCAUGUUGGAACAACUGCUGAAGUACAUGCCUACGCCGGAGCAGAUGAACCAGAUCGCCAGUAUGAAGGACCAGUAUAACGAUCUCGCAGAACCCGAACAGUUCGCGGUGGAGAUGUCGACUAUCAAGCGAAUCACUCCUCGUCUCACCUCCAUGCUGUUCAAGAUGAGAUUUUCUGAGAUUGUGGCUGACAUUAAGCCUGACUUGGUGGCAGCAACAGAGGCGUGUGAAGAAGUGAAGAACAGUAAGAAGUUCGCCCGUCUGCUGGAAUUCAUCCUCGUCAUCGGCAACUACCUCAACGCCGGCUCUCGGAAUGCACAAUCACUUGGCUUUGAGAUCAGCUUCCUCAGCAAGUUGGACAACACCAAGUCUCAGGAUGGGAAGACAACUCUGAUGCACUUCCUGGCACAGACAGUUGAAGAGAAACACCCAGACCUAGUUGGCUUCAUGGAGGAGCUGACACACACGGAGAAGGCAGCUCGAGUGUCUGACGAGACGCUGCAGAAGAACCUGAAGCAGAUGGAGAAGCAGGUGAAGCAGCUGGACAUCGACAUCAAGAACAUCAGCAAGACGAGUUCUGAGGGAGACAGGUUCGCUGAGGUCAUGGAGGUGUUCAUUAAAGUUGCCAGCGAGCAGCACGACGUCCUCAGUACGAUGUAUAAGAAGCUGGACUCCCUGUUUAAGGAGCUGGCGAAGUAUCUGUGCUUCGACACCAAGAAAUACUCAGUUGAAGAUUUCUUUGGAGACCUAAAAAAUUUCAAAGAAUCGUUUAAUAAAGCUAUGAAAGAGAAUGCCAAAAUGCGUGAGACGCAGGAGAAGAUACGACGCGCCAAGGAAGCCAAGGAGAAGGCAGAGAGGGAGAAGAAGGAGAAGAAAGCCAGGCAGAUUGCGAUACUGGACAUGACCACAGAUGAUGACCAAGAGGGCGUGAUGGACAACCUGCUGGAGGCACUCAAGACAGGGUCGGCUUUCAGCGUCAACCGGGAGAAACGAGACGGCAAGCGCCGGACACCACGGGCAGCAGGGGACCGUAUAUCGAACCUGUCAAGGUCGCGGGUAUGGAAAGAUAGUCCUAUUAAGGCUGAGGUGACAUAUCAUAUCUUAGCAUGAUCAUGUGGUGCAGUCAUGUGACUCGUGCAUGACCAAUUAGAUCCUUGGAUUGUAACCUCCACGUGACUAUUGACUCAUCGAGCUUUGCAUGUGAUCGUCAUCUGCUGUUUUACUUUCAGUUCUCUCAUCGUUAUUUUAUGUUGCCGUCAUCAUCAAUAGGAAUUAGCUUGGCCUCUCCGAAGAACACGCAAAAUUCUUUUUUUUAUUUUACGGCGCCUCAAUCACGAUCUCAACAUUUGAUCUCAAUCCAGUCAUCACAGUAAUGGGAACAUACCCCUAUUGGAUAUCCUGAUUCACCCAGGAUCCGCUCAGGAUUAUCUUUCACAACUAACAGAUCGUGAUUGAGGGUCAUAUUUUGUUAAAGCAGUAUAGGGCAAUUCCUUUCGUUUCCCAAGUGUUCGGUUGUAGUACACAGUGUGUGUUGUUUGGAGAGAGCCUUUAGUAUGUGUUGUACUCAUUUCGUGCCUUCAGGGAUGACAAUCUGCCACAGAUUUGACCUUGACCCUUGACCACAAAUUUGACCUUGACCCCUUGACCACAAAUUUGACCUUGACCCCUUGACCACAAAUUUGACCUUGACCUCCAAACCUUUGUCUAUUUAACUGAACUAUUUUAUGGCAGUUGUCAUCCCUUUGAACUGACAUUUCAGGGCUGUUGCUAAAAUAAUGUUACCAUGGUGACAGAGGGAAGUCACAUUAUAUGAAUGGAUGUUCCCAUUGCUAUGUCUUUAACUACUUUUCCUCCAGGUAAACUGGUUUAAAAUCAAUAAGUAUAGAAUGGUAAAAGUAGUCUUUUACUGUUGUGUUUCGCAGGAUUCGUCUUUGAUUAGCUAAAGUAUAGGCUUUCAACAGGCUUUUAUACAGGAUGCGAACCAUCAUUUGAUUGGAGCUUUUACCCCUUUGAUAACCAAUCAUGAAAGUCCAAGGAUUUUAAUGAUCAUGUAUUGUUAACACAGAUUAUAAUAAUACUUGGUUUUAUUGGAAAUAUCUACCAUUGCUAUAUACUUGUAAAAUAACUAGUCUGCUGUACUCUCUAACAGGAAAUGCAUGGACCUGUAUUGAUAACACUUUAAUGUCUAAUGGCAUGAUUCUUACAUGUUUUGUAUGGCCACAGCUACUUGUGGCACUGAGCAUAAUUUUUUACUCGAUGCUGAUCUUAGAAGAACAAAUUAUUUUUGCAAAUGUAGAAUUUGUAACAAGAACAAUUUAGAUUGAAUUUUUCACUUCCUUCUCUUCUGCUGCUCAGGAUUGGCAGGACUAAGACUUAGACAGCGGAAAGGAGAGCUCAACUCGCACGGUCGCGGUCUCGACAGAACCUCCUACAGUUAGACAGUUCCACGGUAAAAGAAAUAAACUUUGACGAAUCCCACGCUAAUGAGAUUCCGAAUCAACCAC
rnacentral:misc_RNA from 1 species